AGGCCAUAUACUGUGCUGGAGGGUCACCGAGUUUUAGAUCCAGACAGACAGAACUAGAGUCAAAAUGCCUUAUCAACCACUUACUAGUUUGGUGACUGUGUGCAAGUUCCUUAAUCUAAGCUAUAUGAAUGAGGAAUAUAUGAAACAGUACGUGUUAGCUAUUAAUAUUAGUAAGCAGAUAUUUAUCCAUUUUUUUCUUAAAUUCUGCGAGUGCUAGGAAUCACACAACUCCUCAGGGCCGCUAGUUCCAACACUAGAUAGUCAUCAUUUUUGGAAAAGUCUCAGUUCCUUCAACAAACAUUCCUCAGGUGUCCACUAUAUACUAAGCAUGUUCUAGAGCAUGAGACAAAGGGAUGCCUGAAAAUAGAGUAUUUGGCCUCAUAAAGUUCCUAGUCUAGCAGGAGAGCUCAGCAUCAUUUGUAAAUCAGAUUCUCUCUCCUUGGAAUUCAGAAUUAGAACUGAGAGACACUCAAAGAGUCUGGACUGUCUUCUGAGCAGAGAAUAAAAAGUAGCUAUCAUCUGCCCACCACAGACAUGGAAAAACAAGAAAGACAGUUUGCAGAGAGGAGAGAAUGAAACAGGACUGUAGAGAGAAGCAGAGACAAGAAAUGGAUCUUCCCAUCUCGUCAUGAGCUUCCACUUCCAGUGCUUGAGGUAUUUUGCAGACCCUGUACUCAGUGGAUCAGCUGGCAUCACCCAGAUGGAUAAACUGCCUCAUCUGGUCUUCUGGCCCCACCCAGGAACUGAUUCAGCACAAGAGGACAGCUUCAACUUCCUAUGAUUUCAUCUGUGACCCCACCAAUCAGCACACUCCACUUUCCAACUCACUACUCACCAAAUUGUCCUUAAAAACCCUGAUCCCUGAGUUUUUGGGGAGACUGAUUUGAGUAAUAAUAAAACUCCAGUCUCCUGUA